rnacentral:lncRNA from 1 species
AUAUGUAGAUAAUUUACAAUGAGUACGUGUGGAAAUCAUGGACGAGGUACCCGUAGGCAUGGCAGACGCCGAAGAGGGGCUCGAGCUAAGCCAUCCUCGAUGGGCAGUAUGCCCAAUCUAGAUAUGGGAGAGAUUAUGGGUAUGCAUACUGUUGAGACAGGGUCUUAGACACAGUCGACUGGGGACGAUGCAUUGUCCCAAGCCAUGUUGAGAGUUCCUGAGAGGGUCAUUGGGACCCAUUCUAGAUCUAAGAGUCGAGGGUCGGUAC